AUGGUGAAAUGCGAAGAAUGGCCUGUGCUGUUUGGUUAUGGCUGCCUUCUCACCUAAGAUAAGUGUUACACUUAUAUACAACCUAACAUAUAAAAUAUAGUAGGUUACAAUGACUUGAGAAACAACACAGUGUGACAUUGGUAUAAUUAUCUGUUGCAGGUACAUUAUGAAGGCAAACUGAGCAAACAUGGAUAUAGUUUGAUGUGAUCACAGAUGAAGCAAGAAUGGCACAUCUAUGCAAAGAAUGACAAGAGUGGAAUGAACUUCUGUUCCAUGAAAUAUGGAUUUCUUCCCACACAAGAUAAGUAUCACAUUUGCACACAUGAUGAAAUUUUAAACAUAUUAUUAGUGACGUCACUUUUAUGGACAUAAGGUUCACAAUUAACCUGCUGCUUCACAAGGUUUGAGCACCUUGAGGAAUUCCAGAGAAAUUAGCAGACUAAUUUUUGAACUGUUGCAAAUUGUGAAUUGACAUCAAGUAUAUUUUAGAACAGCUUGAAAAGCUAGAUGAACACACUGGUGUAACUUUGUAGCUUCAGAAGAAGUAAUGCUGUGGCAGUCUGUAAGGAAGAGCUGCACGAAGCUAACUUGCACUAACCUGACUAGAACAAACUAACCUAACCUAAAACAACUUCAUCUAACACGACAAUGUUGAAAGCGGUCUGCCCCGACAACCUCAGAUGUAUAAACAAUUGGGUCCGUCGGAUCGUCUGUGUUAUGAGGACCUAGACUGUUUCCUAACCUAACCUAGAGCUGCACGAAGCUAACUUGCACUAACCUGACUAGAAUAAACUAACCUAACACGACAUAAUGUUGAGCCGAUGGACCCCGAUGUAUAAACAAUCGUGUCCGUCCGACGGACCUUUAGACACUUCCUUAUAAGAUAUUACAAAGGCUAAGAUUGAUAUGGUUAUACAUUAUCACAGACAAAGAGAAAAUGGCACAUUGUGAAGAAUGCGGCUUGGUGACAGUGACGGCUAUAGGCAGUGUGUGCUCGUGGAUAAAUCAAUUAUGGAUGCCUGACUAUGCAGGAUGGUACCCCAGGCCUUGACCACCAUGGCGGAGAUGAAGCUGCGUGUUCACCUGUACAGAAAGAAGACUGUGUGUACAAGACUGGGACAUUGUACCCCUUUGAAUCCAAAAUCCUGAAUACACACAUCAAUAAAUGUGUUGUGCUACAUCUUUCCA